rnacentral:pre_miRNA from 1 species
AAAACCCGUCGCCCUCGCGGAGGCGGGGGCCCAUUCCACGUUGCCGAAUUCGGUUACAUGGUAUAGGCCCCCGCCUCCGCGAGGGCGAUGUGGUUA